CCAUUUUGAAGUAAUAUUUGCCAAGUGCUGGGCUUCCGGCGUGGCUGGGAUGGCUUCUCUCUGCCUUUGAAAAGGAAGGUCAGGAAAUUUAGGAUGAACAAAAGGAGGUCUGUUAUUGGCGAAGCAUGCUUAAACAAAGUCUAUCUGAAGCACAUUUCCACUUGUCAGCCAGAACUCUGAUGAGGCAAUAUAUCAUUACAGCAAAGGAGCCCUGAUGAUGAACUACUACAGUAUAUCUUCAAACCGGCACUGUUCACUGUAAUGCAUGCUUACUAUGAUGCAUCAUCAAGGGUUUACUUGGCCAGGAUGUGAGACCAGAGAACAGAUGUUAUUCUGUGAGCAUUAUUAAUGGUUCGCCAUAGGAUGGCUUUUGGAAUAAACUGGAGAAAUAAAUACCGAAGCGGUGAGGACCACAGCAAUUUCAAGACAUUUCACUGAAGGCAGACAUGUUCCAUCUGAGAGGCAAUCACAUUUUAUUUGCAUGUCUUUUAUCUAUUCAUUUGAGGUGGAGACAGAAGGUUCUGGCUGCCUGAGGGAAGAAACUCCCUGAUUGGUUACUGUAUCUCUUUGGAACUGGAUAAAAGGGAGGGUUGAACAGUGAGGAGGAAACAGCAGCAGGAGAGUUCUGGUUCCCUGAAGAAGAGCUGUUGCUCAAAAUGUGCUGGAAUCUCUAAAUAAAAUCCUUAUUUUUGCACCAAUUGAUUAUUUUUUCUUAUGUAUGGAAUCACACCUAAAUUAUGCCCCUACAUGAAGCAAUACCAUGAAAGUGGAAAAUUCGCACAAGGAAUGGAUCUGAGUAGAACUUGUCCCACUGAUCUGCGUGGGUGUGGUAGCCUGCCUACAUAUCAGCUUUUGAAACAGAUUUGAACACACAAGACCAAAAUGCCCUGGCAUGAACCAAGAAUGGAAACUGGUUCUUCUAUGCAGAAGUCAAGGAACCUCACCUCGACAUUUCAACCAAAAUUCCAUGGCAACUCUUGGCUGGACCUGAGACUGAUUCAAGCACUGGAACAGGAUAAGCAAUCUGUGUUGUUGUUUUCUUUCUGUAUAGCUAAACUACAGUAUGUUUGUUCCCGUAAAUGAGCAGGUUCACACAUAAUGCGGAACCUACUUGCAGUCCUGGUCACCCCAUUGUCUGUGAUUGUGUGAACCCACCCUAGGCAAGCACUGUAUGUUCCCUCAGGAACCUAGAUGUGUAAUGAAGAAUUGGAGUUGGCUCCAGCUUCCAGAAGUAGUAGUUCAUGCUACUUCUGAACACACAGAGGCUGUUCUCACAUGCAGGCAAAACCAGGCUAACGAAGCCAAGCCCAGUUUUGCCUGCGUGUGAGAACCACUGAGAUUGCGCACGAACCUGAUGGUGCCUUGGCAGCAAACCCACCAAGCCAGCAACCCUCUUAGACUGGGUUACGAAAGCUAGCGCUCUCUUAGCCCGGUUUUUAAAAUCAUAUGCCUGCUGGGAGACUGUGGGUCUCCCAGCCGGCAUCAGGGGAAUCCCCAUAAUGCAUUGCACAUUUGCAUGGUGCAUUAUGGGAGCUCCAGAGGCUGGGACGAAGCGUCUUAUCCUCCAAACCUCUGUGGCAACUGCUGGCAAUUGUAUGGAUGGGUGAUCCGCCCACCCAGGGAGAGUAGAGGGAUUGUCUGCCGGGAGGUAAGAGCAAGCAGCCUGCCUCCUCGCUCUCCCUCGAGCCCUUUCUCACUGAUCAUCAUGAUCUCACCGACCAUGAACCCCUCAUUUGUUCCAGGUGAGCCAGUCCCCUCUGCAAUCAGAACCAGUGGCUGUGAGGUGGAUGAUUAAAGGGAUAUUUGCCAGUCAAAGGGCAGCACAAGGCAGGCAGGGAUAGUGUCCAGGGCCUCACUGGGAGGCAUGGAAAGGGGGGGAUACAUUUGGCUCAACUUGGCUGUUUCAACAAACAGGUAUAUGACUGUCUGCAUAGCCUAUUUCCAGUUCUGCCUACAACUUGGACAGCUUGAACCACAGCUUCCCUGCUAUGUAUGAACCUGCCCAAUGUCUCUCACUGAAUAAAUGCUCAUAUUCACCUACAGUAGCUAAGAUUUCAGGAGGGCAGUGGGGAAACCUUCGAGACUUACCACUAAAUGUCAGAAACGGCUGCAUCAUCAAGCUUGUUUUGAAGAUAUAUCAACAUGGUUUGUAGAUGUCAUUGAUGUUUAUGAAGACAUGGAGGCUAUUUACAUGAUGGGCGGAAUUCGGGCUAAUGGAGGCUAGCCUGAUUUUCUCCCAUCGUGAGAACCACCAGGCUCAGCUGCGAGCCCGGCAGUUCUUAUGCGGGUAACCCGCUAAACUACCCCUGCCCUUAAACCAGGUUUGCAGAGCGAGUGCUCAGCAAACCCAUUUUUUAAAAUUGUGUGUUGCAGAGGCACAGCUCCACGCCGCGGCAACUUAUGAGGAGACCCCUGAUCGGGAGGCUGAAAAGCAGCCUUUCGGCUCGGGGGUCUCUCCAGCAUGCCCUGCGCACUUGCACAGGGCAUGCUGGAGCUUCCAAGGGCCGCGUGGCCCCCGAACUCCCAAGACCCCACCAGCUCCGUGACGGAGCUGGCAGUUGUGUGGGCGGCUGCUGCGGCUGCCUGGAGCAGACUGAUUGCACAUCUGCGGGGAGAGUGGGCUAAGCCCGCUCUCCCCGCUAACCCUCUCCAAGCAGUUCCCACUGAUCGUGGGGAACUGCCUCAUGGAAAUGACAUCUGGUCAAAAGCUAAAGAUGUGGUCCAGAAUCAUCAUCAAAGAUUGUGUCAUCAGGAUUGUCCUGGAUAUUUUCCAACAGCAAAUACUGACAUUUACCAGUAAACGAUGACUUUUGGCAAUUAUCAGAUAUUAUUGGUCGUCUUUUAUUGGUGCUGCUCCUGACUCUGUUUGCUAACUGACAUGUGCUUCAUCUCAUUUUAAGGAAUCUAUAGUAUCUGCAAUCUAAACAAAAUAAAUCAUUGGUGCCGAAGCUUAAAUGAGCAUAAGUUUAUAUUGUGUAAUCUUGAAAUAAACAACAAAAAAUAUAUAGCUCCUGUAAUUUAAUGAUCUACAACUGGCUGUGUUAAGCUCUCUCUCAGUCAAUUGAUGUCCAUGUGUACUAAAAUAUAUUUGGCAAAAAGUAUCCUGUUAUGAUGAGCUUU